AGCUCGAUAGCGCAACGGUAGCGCGUCUGUUCUCUAUUGUGGAUCGGAGUGGACCUAAUGGUUGAUGGAAGAUCUCGGUUCGACUCUGAGUCGAGCUA
rnacentral:tRNA from 1 species